GGAUGAUUAGCUCAGUUGGUAGAGCACUGUGUUCACAUCGCAGGGGUCGUUGGUUCGAGUCCAACAUCGUCCACCA
rnacentral:tRNA from 1 species